rnacentral:rRNA from 1 species
AGAGUUUGAUCCUGGCUCAGGACGAACGCUGGCGGCGUGCCUAAUACAUGCAAGUAGAACGCUGAAGAGAGGAGCUUGCUCUUCUUGGAUGAGUUGCGAACGGGUGAGUAACGCGUAGGUAACCUGCCUUGUAGCGGGGGAUAACUAUUGGAAACGAUAGCUAAUACCGCAUAACAAUGGAUGACCCAUGUCAUUUAUUUGAAAGGGGCAAAUGCUCCACUACAAGAUGGACCUGCGUUGUAUUAGCUAGUAGGUGAGGUAACGGCUCACCUAGGCGACGAUACAUAGCCGACCUGAGAGGGUGAUCGGCCACACUGGGACUGAGACACGGCCCAGACUCCUACGGGAGGCAGCAGUAGGGAAUCUUCGGCAAUGGGGGCAACCCUGACCGAGCAACGCCGCGUGAGUGAAGAAGGUUUUCGGAUCGUAAAGCUCUGUUGUAAGUCAAGAACGAGUGUGAGAGUGGAAAGUUCACACUGUGACGGUAGCUUACCAGAAAGGGACGGCUAACUACGUGCCAGCAGCCGCGGUAAUACGUAGGUCCCGAGCGUUGUCCGGAUUUAUUGGGCGUAAAGCGAGCGCAGGCGGUUUGAUAAGUCUGAAGUUAAAGGCUGUGGCUCAACCAUAGUUCGCUUUGGAAACUGUCAAACUUGAGUGCAGAAGGGGAGAGUGGAAUUCCAUGUGUAGCGGUGAAAUGCGUAGAUAUAUGGAGGAACACCGGUGGCGAAAGCGGCUCUCUGGUCUGUAACUGACGCUGAGGCUCGAAAGCGUGGGGAGCGAACAGGAUUAGAUACCCUGGUAGUCCACGCCGUAAACGAUGAGUGCUAGGUGUUGGAUCCUUUCCGGGAUUCAGUGCCGCAGCUAACGCAUUAAGCACUCCGCCUGGGGAGUACGACCGCAAGGUUGAAACUCAAAGGAAUUGACGGGGGCCCGCACAAGCGGUGGAGCAUGUGGUUUAAUUCGAAGCAACGCGAAGAGCCUUACCAGGUCUUGACAUCCCGAUGCUAUUUCUAGAGAUAGAAAGUUACUUCGGUACAUCGGUGACAGGUGGUGCAUGGUUGUCGUCAGCUCGUGUCGUGAGAUGUUGGGUCAAGUCCCGCAACGAGCGCAACCCCUAUUGUUAGUUGCCAUCAUUCAGUUGGGCACUCUAGCGAGACUGCCGGUAAUAAACCGGAGGAAGGUGGGGAUGACGUCAAAUCAUCAUGCCCCUUAUGACCUGGACUACACACGUGCUACAAUGGUUGGUACAACGAGUUGCGAGUCGGUGACGGCAAGCUAAUCUCUUAAAGCCAAUCUCAGUUCGGAUUGUAGGCUGCAACUCGCCUACAUGAAGUCGGAAUCGCUAGUAAUCGCGGAUCAGCACGCCGCGGUGAAUACGUUCCCGGGCCUUGUACACACCGCCCGUCACACCACGAGAGUUUGUAACACCCGAAGUCGGUGAGGUAACCUUUUGGAGCCAGCCGCCUAAGGUGGGAUAGAUGAUUGGGGUGAAGUCGUAACAAGGUA